rnacentral:rRNA from 1 species
AAAUUGAAGAGUUUGAUCAUGGCUCAGAUUGAACGCUGGCGGCAGGCCUAACACAUGCAAGUCGAGCGGAAACGAGUUAUCAGAACCUUCGGGGRACGAUAACGGCGUCGAGCGGCGGACGGGUGAGUAAUGCCUAGGAAAUUGCCCUGAUGUGGGGGAUAACCAUUGGAAACGAUGGCUAAUACCGCAUGAUGCCUACGGGCCAAAGAGGGGGACCUUCGGGCCUCUCGCGUCAGGAUAUGCCUAGGUGGGAUUAGCUAGUUGGUGAGGUAAGGGCUCACCAAGGCGACGAUCCCUAGCUGGUCUGAGAGGAUGAUCAGCCACACUGGAACUGAGACACGGUC